AGUGAACGCUGGCGGUAGGCCUAACAUAUGCAAGUCGAACGGCAGCACAGGAGAGCUUGCUCUCUGGGUGGCGAGUGGCGGACGGGUGAGGAAUACAUCGGAAUCUACUCUGUCGUGGGGGAUAACGUAGGGAAACUUACGCUAAUACCGCAUACGACCUACGGGUGAAAGCAGGGGACCUUCGGGCCUUGCGCGAUUGAAUGAGCCGAUGUCGGAUUAGCUAGUUGGCGGGGUAAAGGCCCACCAAGGCGACGAUCCGUAGCUGGUCUGAGAGGAUGAUCAGCCACACUGGAACUGAGACACGGUCCAGACUCCUACGGGAGGCAGCAGUGGGGAAUAUUGAACAAUGGGCGCAAGCCUGAUCCAGCCAUACCGCGUGGGUGAAGAAGGCCUUCGGGUUGUAAAGCCCUUUUGUUGGGAAAGAAAUCCAGCUGGCUAAUACCCGGUUGGGAUGACGGUACCCAAAGAAUAAGCACCGGCUAACUUCGUGCCAGCAGCCGCCGUAA
rnacentral:rRNA from 1 species